rnacentral:rRNA from 1 species
UACGUAGGGGGCAAGCGUUGUCCGGAAUCAUUGGGCGUAAAGAGCGUGUAGGCGGCUCGGUAAGUCCGCUGUAAAAAGUCCAGGGCUCAACCCUGGAAAGCCGGUGGAAACUGUCGAGCUAGAGUCCGGAAGAGGCGAGUGGAAUUCCUGGUGUAGCGGUGAAAUGCGCAGAUAUCAGGAGGAACACCAAUGGCGAAGGCGGCUCUCUGGGACGGUACUGACGCUGAGACGCGAAAGCGUGGGGAGCGAACAGG